rnacentral:rRNA from 1 species
AUGAACGCUGGCGGCGUGCCUAAUACAUGCAAGUCGAGCGAACGGACGAGAAGCUUGCUUCUCUGAUGUUAGCGGCGGACGGGUGAGUAACACGUGGAUAACCUACCUAUAAGACUGGGAUAACUUCGGGAAACCGUAGCUAAUACCGGAUAAUAUUCUGAACCGCAUGGUUCAAAAGUGAAAGACGGUCUUGCUGUCACUUAUAGAUGGAUCCGCGCUGCAUUAGCUAGUUGGUAAGGUAACGGCUUACCAAGGCAACGAUGCAUAGCCGACCUGAGAGGGUGAUCGGCCACACUGGAACUGAGACACGGUCCAGACUCCUACGGGAGGCAGCAGUAGGGAAUCUUCCGCAAUGGGCGAAAGCCUGACGGAGCAACGCCGCGUGAGUGAUGAAGGUCUUCGGAUCGUAAAACUCUGUUAUUAGGGAAGAACAUAUGUGUAAGUAACUGUGCACAUCUUGACGGUACCUAAUCAGAAAGCCACGGCUAACUACGUG